ACAGUCUUAGAUAUUGUUUCUGACACUGAUGACCCUACUCCUGUACACCUAUCUCUCCAGGCCUUUUCUGGAACCCCCUCGGCCUACACCUUCAAACUUCAGGGGUUUAUUCAUCAUACACUCGUUACCAUUUUAAUAGACACUGGGAGUUCACACAAUAUCCUCCAACCUCGCCUAGCCCAUCACCUCAACCUUUGCACCCUUCCUAUUAAACCUUUUUCCAUCAUGGUUGGAAACGACGAAAAAUUCAUUGCACACAUCUCAAUCCUACAGUUACUGUUUCUAUACAAAAUCAUUUUUUUUCCAUCCCAUUUUACCUCAUCCCAAUUGAAGGAGCAGAUGUAGUCCUAGGAAUGGACUGGUUGCGCUGCCUCGGACCCCUACAAGCAGAUUUCUCUACACCACAACCCUCUUUCCAUCAGCAAGGCACCCUCAUAACCCUAGUUGGAACCAUCAAACUCUUAGACACACACGCUUCUGUCACCAAUAUUUGUCACCUCCUACAUACCAAAGCCAUAACAUGACUUCAUUUGCUCACCUUUCAACCGGAUCCCUUACCAUGCCCCAACCCUUCCCCACCAAGUAUACACCCCACGAUUCAAACCCUACUCCAUACAUACCAUUCAUUUUUCUCACCUCCUCACGGGUUGCCUCCCCACCUCCCCCAUGACCAUCACAUUCCCUUGAUCCCAAACUCCACCCGUAUAAAUAUCAAACCCUACCGUUAUCCCCACACCCACAAACACACUAUGACUUCUCUCAUUCAAGAAAUGUUAUAUGAGGGCAUCAUAUGACCAAGUACCAGCCCCUUCUCUUCCCCUAUCAUACCCAUAAAAAAAAAGAUGGAUCAUAGAGAUUUUGUGUGGAUUACAUGGCUCUAAAUGUUAUCACGGUGAAGGAUAGAUUUCCUAUCCCCACGAUUGAGGAACUCUUGGAUGAAUUAACUGAGGCACGCGUGUUCACUAAGCUAGACUUAAGAUCUAGCUAUCACCAAAUACGGGUAAACCCCACAGACUGCAACAAGACAGCUUUUUGAACCUUUGAUGGUCAUUAUGAGUUUUUAGUUAUGUCAUUUGGCUUAUCUAAUGCUCCGUCUACCUUUCAAGCUGCAAUGAAUGACCUCUUCUAACCUUAUCUAAGGCGUUUUAUACUAGUUUUCUUUGAUGACAUCUUAAUUUAUAGUACAUCCAUGACAGACCAUAUUCAACAUCUCAACAUUGUUCUCCAAUUACUUCAGACUCACCAGUUUUUUGUUAAAGAAUCAAAAUGCAAUUUUGCAGCCCCUACAAUUGCCUAUUUGGGCAAUAUCAUUCAACAGGGAACGGUUUCCCCGGAUUCAUAAAAAAUUCAAGCUAUUCUACAGUGGCCCGAGCCCAAAUCAUUCACUACGUUGCGUGCGUUUUUUGGCAUUACGGGGUUUUAUCGGAAGUUUAUUCACGGAUAUGCCACUCUUGCCUCUCUACUCACGGAUUUACUCAAAUUGAAAGUUUUUACAUGGAAUCACAUGGCCAACACAACCUUUCUACAGUUCAAAAAUAUCCUAACUACACCUCCUAUCUUGAACCUCCCUGAUUUCACCAUUCCUUUUGUAGUAGAAACAAACACUUCCAAUUUCGUCAUUGGAGUUGUUUUAUCUCAAGCAGGGCACCUUAUUGCCUUCUUCAGUAAGAAGCUAUGUCCAAAGAAACAAAGCAGUUCAGUAUACGUUAAAGAGAUGCUAGCAAUUGCUGAAUCUGUUAAGAAAUGGAGGCACUAUCUCAUUGGCAAUCACUUUCAAAUUAUCACAGACCAACAAAGUUUAAGGGGAUUACUUACCAGCACUUGCCAUACACCGGAACAACAAAAAUGGGCUUCACGACUUAUUGGGUACAGUUUUGAUAUCCUUUAUCGGCCCGGACGUCACAACCAAGUUGUUGAUUUCCUUUCCAGGCUACCACCCUCAGUUUUCUUAACCAUCUCUUCCCCACUACCCGAGCUCAUCACCAAAUUAAAAAAAUACUAUUAGACAACAAAUGGACAACAAGAAAAAACAAAAUUGAUAGGUAUUCUCAAUUCAAAUUUCAAUUUUCACAAUGACUUACUGUACCACGGCCAGAACUUUACAUUCCAUCAGCAAUCAACCUCCGCCCAUCCAUUCUUCACGAGUUUCAUGCAACCCCAUCCGCAGGGCAUUCCAGUCUCAAAGCCACUCUAGCUCGUUAAGCUGCCUCUUUCUAUUGGUUAGGUAUGUACAAAGACACAAAAUUGUUCAUCAAAGAGUGUCUCCCCUGCCAACAGAACAAACCCAUCAACAAAAAUCCUUAGGAUUAUUACAACCCCCCCCAACCAGAAUUUGGGAUGAACUAACAACUAAUUUUAUUACCCACUUACCAUCAUCUUUCGGCCAUACGGUUAUUUUGGUGGUCUGUGACCGACUUUCAAAAUCAGCUCAUUUCAUAGCCCUCCCCACAUCCUUCACCGCCUUCCAUCUAGCCAAUCAUUUUUCUGUGGAGAUCUAUAGGUUGCAUGGCAUUCCGAAGUCCAUAAUCUCAAACUGAGACCCGCUCUUCCUCAGUAACUUCUGGAAUGAGCUUUUUCACCUACAAGGCACAAAACUGAAAUUUAGUACGGUUUAUCACCCUCAGAUAGAUGGUCAAACCGAGGUUAUCAACAAAAGUUUAGAGAUAUACCUUCGGUGUUUCACCAGUGACCAUCUGCGGAGUUGGUACAAAUACUUACACCUCGUCGAGUUUUGGUACAAUUCUUCUUACCAUUCGGCCAUCAAAACAACCCCGUUCCAAGCAUUCUAUGGAAGACCACCACCAUCUAUCCCGGAUUAUGUGUCCGGUACUGCAUCAGAACCCAAUCUGGAAACCACCCUCAAAGAGCGAACGCAGAUAUUGCAUCAGUUGAAGACAAAUUUGCCGUUGUCACAACAACACAUGGCCAAGACAGCGAACAUUGGACGACGUCAUUAUGUUUUCAUCGUCAGCGAUUGGGUACUCCUCCGACGAAAGGCUUACCGCCAAACAUCCCUCACCGGCUCCCCUCACCACAAGCUUUCCCGAAAAUUCUAUGGCCCAUACCCUAUUACCAAACACAUUGGUGAAGUGGCUUAUGAAUUAGCUCUCCCACCAGAUUUCAAGAUUCACCCAGUAUUUCACAUAUCUCUUCUCAAACCAUAUCAUGGACCAAAACCCCCUCUACCCCACCACCCUCCCAAUUAGGAAAUAAACUCGCACCUUUUGCACCCUCCCAACAUAAACCUAAGUGAAACCUUAAGUGAGACUUCA
rnacentral:lncRNA from 1 species